UACUCAUUAGUUUAAAUAAAACACUAUUUUUGUAAUAUAGAAUUUAACUUAGUUUUUAUUAA
rnacentral:tRNA from 1 species